rnacentral:tRNA from 1 species
AUUUGGAGGAGCACCCUAAAAGGUGCCGGGGCUU